GCGAUUGAUGUUGCGUUGUCGCCGCUGGCGGUGAAGUCGCUAGAGACUGAGGAGAGGGCAGACGCGUUGUUAAAGCGAGCUGAGUUGAGGAUCGGAGUGAGUGGAAAGGAGCGACUUGACGACUCGGUUAUGCAGGAUUUGGUGGAGUCGGUGAAGUUGAAGAAGGAGAAUUGGAAGGCGUUUGUGUUGUUAGGAGAGUGUUAUGAGAAGAAGGAGAUGAAGGACGAGGCGGUGGAAGCUUACGAGAGUGCGAUUCGAGUGGAGCCGGAGUGUAAGGUUGCUGUUAAGGCCCUGGAUCGCUUGCGAGAUUGAUUCUUCGUAGAGUGAGUAAAUUUUCCUGCUGUACUAACUUUUUUAAGUCGGAUAUGACACGAGAAUAAUUGUUUUGCACUUUUAAAUAUUUGCUGAACGACAUAGUAUAUAAAAUGUUGUUGUGCACUUUUAAAUAUUUGUGCUGAACGAUAUAAUUUAUAAAAUGUUGAAGAGGUGUUUUCAUGCUAAAACUGUUCUGUGUGCGAGCGAGACCACAUGUAUGUCUCUGUUGUAUGGAUCUUUCAGUUUGAUCUAUUGAAAUGUCUAAUUUGCUUUUAACAGUAGAUUCUUUCAUGCUAAAAAUGUACUCCCUCUGUUCCAUUUAAUUCUAUACGUUUCUUUUUCACUGCUCGACACGCACUUCAAUGCUCUUAUAAAACAUAGUUCUACAACUUAUAUUUAAAAUUUUUUUUUUCUGAAUAAAAAUAUAACAUUCAAACUUUUAUACAGAGAAGAAAAAUCUUAAAAACAAGUUAUAGAACUAUAUUUUACGGGAGCAUUAAAGUCCGUGCCGUGUCCCCGUCCCCCAAUGUAUAUAACUCAGGGGGACGGAGGGAGUAAUAAUUAAUUGAUUAAACAUAUGACGGUGUGAGGACUUGACAAACGAACUACUCCCUGGACUGAGGUAAUUGAUUUUAUAUCAUUCCCUAAGACAUUAGAGCAUUAACUAUUAGCAGAAAAAAUGAGUAAAGUUAGAUGAAAAGUGGGUAAAGUGGUGGGACCCAUCAAUAUUUAAUAAUAGAUUUGAGAUAGUGGAGGAAAGUAGUGGGUGUAAUAGUAGUUUUUAUUGUUAAAUAUGAGAUAGUAGGGGAAGAUAGUGGGUGUAAUGAUGGAAAAAACUUACUAUUUAUGGUAACGUAAAGAAAUGAGAGGGACAUCCCAAAAUUUUCUUUUCUUGAAUUAAAGUUUGGAUGUUAUAUUUUUAUACAGAAAAAAAAAUCUCAAAAAUAAUUUACGGAACUAUAUUUUAGAAGAGUGUUAGAAUUGCAUGCGACACAUCGAGUAAAAUACUACUACCAGUGCUACGUGGAAAGGAAAAGUCAGCCGUCUUUGACUUUUCCAUCCCAUCGCACACAUAUCUACGAUCUUUUACAUCUACACAACGGAGGCGGCUAGAGUUUUCUCUCUGAAAUGGAUUUCUCUGAGAGAGAGCGAAGAAUCAAAUUCAUCGCCGAUAUUCUAAUCCAAGCCGUUACUGCCAUUAUCGUGCUAGGUAUCUUUGUAUUGCUCUACAAGCUCCCUCAAUAUUACAUCUCUAAGCUCCGUUCGCGAAACAAAUCGAACGUCGAAGCUCGCCGUCACUUCGUCGCCGGCGCUCAACUCCUCGCCAAAUCUCGAUCCAGUAAGGAUCUCUCCGCCGCGAAGCUCGCCGUCGAUGAGGCCGACAAGUCGAUUGCUUUGGAUCCGUACGACGCCGCUUCGCAUAUUCUAAAGUCGAUGGCGCUUGAUUUGCUAGGGUUUAAGACGGCGGCGAUUGAGGCGAUUGAUGUUGCGUUGUCGCCGCUGGCGGUGAAGUCGCUAGAGACUGAGGAGAGGGCAGACGCGUUGUUAAAGCGAGCUGAGUUGAGGAUCGGAGUGAGUGGAAAGGAGCGACUUGACGACUCGGUUAUGCAGGAUUUGGUGGAGUCGGUGAAGUUGAAGAAGGAGAAUUGGAAGGCGUUUGUGUUGUUAGGAGAGUGUUAUGAGAAGAAGGAG
rnacentral:lncRNA from 1 species